GACCUGGCUAGGCGGUCUUGCUGAAAGGUAAGCACUGCUCUGGUCGGGUCUUUCCUUCUGGGGAACCAGUGUGCUCUUAAUUGGGUGCGCUGGGGAUCCAGGACUUUUACUUUGAAAAAAUUAGAGUGUUUAAAGCAGGCUUACGCUUGAAUACAUUAGCAUGGAAUAAUAAAACAGGCC
rnacentral:rRNA from 1 species